UACGGGGGGGGGCUAGCGUUGUUCGGAAUUACUGGGCGUAAAGGGCGCGUAGGCGGCCUACUAAGUCGGACGUGAAAUCCCUCGGCUCAACCGGGGGAACUGCGUCCGAUACUGGUGGGCUCGAAUCCGGGAGAGGGAUGUGGAAUUCCAGGUGUAGCGGUGAAAUGCGUAGAUAUCUGGAGGAACACCGGUGGCGAAGGCGGCAUCCUGGACCGGUAUUGACGCUGAUGCGCGAAAGCCAGGGGAGCAAACGGG
rnacentral:rRNA from 1 species